GACGAACGCUGGCGGCGUGCUUAACACAUGCAAGUCGAACGGAAAGGCCCUGCUUUUGUGGGGUGCUCGAGUGGCGAACGGGUGAGUAACACGUGAGUAACCUGCCCUUGACUUUGGGAUAACUUCAGGAAACUGGGGCUAAUACCGGAUAGGAGCUCCUGCUGCAUGGUGGUGGUUGGAAAGUUUCGGCGGUUGGGGAUGGACUCGCGGCUUAUCAGCUUGUUUGUGGGGUAGUGGCUUACCAAGGCUUUGACGGGUAGCCGGCCUGAGAGGGUGACCGGCCACAUUGGGACUGCGAUACGGACCAGACUCCUAAGGGAGGCAGCAGUGGGGAAUAUUGCACAAUGGGCGGAAGCCUGAUGCAGCAACGCCGCGUGCGGGAUGACGGCUUUCGGGUUGUAAACCGCUUUCGCCUGUGACGAAGCGUGAGUGACGGUAAUGGGUAAAGAAGCACCGGCUAACUACGUG
rnacentral:rRNA from 1 species